UUUUAACUGCCUUUUUGUUCAACAAACUUUAAAAAAAGCAUGAAAGUAACAGGGUAUCCUGAUUUAAAGAUCAUUCCCAUCCCACAUACUCUUUGUGGUAAGGCUGGAAAGGAAACCAGCAGGAAUACAAGCUUUCCCCUAACUGGGAGGAGAGGAAAUAUUUCUCCCAUUCUGUAGAAAACUUGCGUGCACAGUCUGAGGUUGUAAACAUUUAUUGCUUAGCCCUGCAAAUCAGUCGUUCUACGAUGGAGGCAAAGACAGGUCAUGGUAAGGGCUGCCGGUUAUUUGCCUUUAGAAUGUAGCCUGCUGUACAAGUGCCUUGCUGGGUCAAAUCUCCCUCUUUGGAUCUAGUCUGGAGUCACUACUGCAUCACUGCGCUGUACACUCUGAUAUGCCACUGAAGAAUAAUGAAAUCCCUCAAAAUAGGUGGAGAAGAUAAAAAUAGGAAUGUACAAAAA